GACGAACGCUGGCGGCGUGCUUAACACAUGCAAGUCGAACGGAAAGGCCUUUUCGGCGGUACUCGAGUGGCGAACGGGUGAGUAACACGUGGGUGAUCUGCCCUGCACUCUGGGAUAAGCCUGGGAAACUGGGUCUAAUACCGGAUAGGACCGCACUUUAGUGUGUGUGGUGGAAAGUUUUUUCGGUGUAGGAUGAGCCCGCGGCCUAUCAGCUUGUUGGUGGGGUAAUGGCCUACCAAGGCGGCGACGGGUAGCCGGACUGAGAGGUUGGUCGGCCACAUUGGGACUGAGAUACGGCCCAGACUCCUACGGGAGGCAGCAGUGGGGAAUAUUGCACAAUGGGCGCAAGCCUGAUGCAGCGACGCCGCGGGGGGGAUGACGGCCUUCGGGUUGUAAAAUCCUUUCGCCAGGGACGAAGCGUUUUGUGACGGUACCUGGAGAAGAAGCACCGGCUAACUACGUG
rnacentral:rRNA from 1 species